rnacentral:lncRNA from 1 species
UUGUUUUCAAAUCCAACUACCAAAUAUGAACAAUAUACUCUACUUCUUCUUUCGUUCAACUUUAGUUCUCUCAUUCUUUGGCGGUGGACCCUUCCUCCUUGCAAGCCUGCCGAUAACCUCACUCUCACUGAUUGAACAUCAUUUAGCUUCUUUGUGGCGUAGUCCCACAACAGAGCUCCAUAGCGUCUACGGUGUUUGUCAAUAUCAGUAAGAUCUUCCUUUGGUGUAGACAAAU